rnacentral:lncRNA from 1 species
AAAUUUGUCGAAAUCCGAUUCUUUCUCUUUUAACCACCUCUACAACCCUUAUCUGACCCCUCUAGACUACAUCCACCCUUUGUAUAGCCUAAUGUCACCAAAAGACUAGAUAGGGACGGAUAUUUACCUUUUUCUUUUUGGAAAUCGAGGUCCUUGCGUAGAGGGGAAGGAGAUCUACACUUUUUCCUUAGCUAGAAGCGCAACCGGAGCUUCCUUGCACCUCGAAUCCCCUCCCUCUUUCUUCUUCUUCUUCUUCUUUUUCUUCUUCUUCUCUUUUUCCCUCUCUCUGUGUUUCCACGCCUGAGACCUCCUCUCCCUCUCUGUCUCAAUUCCCUCUUCUCAGCCAACCCACCGCCAGACAACCCCCAUUUAAGUCAAAUCAAACUCUGAAAAUUCCCAUUUUGCCCUUGCCACUUCGAUAUAUC